rnacentral:tRNA from 1 species
GGGGCUGUCGGCUAGUUUGGUCUAGGCUUGGAGACUUGGGCUUGUGCGGGAAGGACCCCGGUUCAAAUCCGGGCAGCCCCACCA